CCUACGGGAGGCUGCAGUGGGGAAUAUUGGGCAAUGGGCGCAAGCCUGACCCAGCAACGCCGCGUGAAGGAAGACGGCCCUCGGGUUGUUAACUCCUUUUAUCAAGGACGCAACAAAUGACGGUACUUGAUGAAUAAGCCAUGGCUAACUAAGGGGCAUCAGCCGCGGUCAUACGUAGGUCGCAGGUGUUAUGCGGAUUUACUGGGUGUAAAGGGCGUGUAGGGGGGACUGCAAGCCAGAUGUGAAAAGUAAGGGCUCAACCCAUUGCCUGCAUUUGAAACUGUAGUUCUUGAGUGAUGGAGAGGCAUGCGGAAUGCCGGGUGUAGCGGUGAAAUGCGUAGAUAUACGGAGGAACACCAGUGGCGAAGGCGGCCUGCUGGCCAAUGACUGACGCUGAGGCGCGAAAGCGUGGGGAGCGAACAGGAUUAGAUACCCGGGUAGUC
rnacentral:rRNA from 1 species